rnacentral:rRNA from 1 species
CAGUAGCCACGGUAAUACGGAAGGUGCAAGCGUUAAUCGGAAUUACUGGGCGUAAAGUGCACGCAGGCGGUUUGUUAAGUCAGAUGUGAAAUCCCCGAGCUUAACUUGGGAACUGCAUUUGAAACUGGCAAGCUAGAGUCUUGUAGAGGGGGGUAGAAUUCCAGGUGUAGCGGUGAAAUGCGUAGAGAUCUGGAGGAAUACCGGUGGCGAAGGCGGCCCCCUGGACAAAGACUGACGCUCAGGUGCGAAAGCGUGGGGAGCAAACAGGAUUAGAGACCCGAGUAGUCCCUGUCUCUUAUAC